CCGUGAAUAUUGGUCAAUGGGUGCAAGCCUGAACCAGCCAUCCCGCGUGAAGGACGACUGCCCUAUGGGUUGUAAACUUCUUUUGUAUAGGGAUAAACCUACCCUCGUGAGGGUAGCUGAAGGUACUAUACGAAUAAGCACCGGCUAACUCCGUGCCAGCACCCGCGGUAAAUAAAAAAAAAA
rnacentral:rRNA from 1 species